rnacentral:misc_RNA from 1 species
UUUCCGUAGGUGAACCUGCGGAAGGAUCAUUAUUGUAUAACCGAGGUGCGAGGGCUGUCGCUGACCCGAAAGGUCGUGCACGCCUGAGUGCCCUCACACACAUCCAUCUCACCCCUAUGUGCACCACCGCGUGGGUCCCCCUUUGGCUUGUUCGGAGGGGGGCUUACGUUUUCACACAAACUUUGUAUGCAGUGUAGAAUGUAUUUUUUGUUUUUGCGAUCACGCAAUCAAUACAACUUUCAACAACGGAUCUCUUGGCUCUC